CGGUAAUUCCAGUAUCCGAGUUGUGGGAUGUUAUUGGGCCUAAAGCAUCCGUARCUGGCUAGGUUAGUCCCAUGUUAAAUCCACCSAAUUAAUMGWUGGAKUGCGGRGGAUACUGCUUGGCUAGGGGACGAGAGAGGCAKACGGUAUUUCCGGGGUAGGGGUGAAAUCCUAUAAUCCCGGGAAGACCACCAGUGGCGAAGGCUGUCUGCUAGAACGCGCCCGACGGUGAGGGAUGAAAGCUGGGGGAGCGAACCGGAUUAGAUACCCGGGUAGUCCCAGCUGUAAACGAUGCAGACUAGGUGUUUGGACGGCCACGUGCCGUUCUAGUGCCGCAGGGAAGCUGUUAAGUCUGCCGCCUGGGGAGUACGAUCGCAAGAUUGAAACUUAAAGGAAUUGGCGGGGGAGCACA
rnacentral:rRNA from 1 species